UUUUCCCUCCCUUGUGAUUGGCCUAAUGUGUUUCACCUGUGUCCCUGCCUUGUAGCCACCUGUCCCUUGUUAGUCCUCGUUAUCCUGUGUAUUUAGUGUUUCCUUGGUGUCUUGUCAGAUUAUUACUUUAUGUGCUGUCUGUGGUGCUGUGUGCCUUGUUUUUGUGGUUUUUGUGCUUUCUGGGACUACUUUUGUUUUGCUUGCCUGCCAACCUGUGGACACGUUUUUGUGUUUUCAGGUGAGAGUUGGCCCAGAGAAGACCUUCACCUAUGAUUGUGUUCGAUCCCACUGCUAAACAAGAAGACGUGUUUAAUACGGCUGUGUCCCCCUUAUUGUUUGGGCUUUUCACAGGCUACCAUGCCACAGUUGCUGCAUACGGCCAGAGGGGAUCAGGGAAGACCUUCUCCAUGGGAGGACCAUGCACAUCAGCUCAAGAAAAUGACCCUUCAGUCGGCCUUAUUCCACGAGUUCUCAGAAGGAUCUUUGAGGAAAGGGAGAGGAGGAGGACUGUGUCUUUGGUCUGGCAGUGUCAGAGGGGCAUUAAGAGGAGUGACUGACAUGUUUACAAAAAUGAACGCACACUGUCACAUUUCAUUAAAGCUAGAUGGAAAGAUAAAUCCUCAUUCUUUACCUUGGUUGUGGGUCUAACUGAGAGGAAGGUGUCCUCUGCCUGUGAGAUGGUGCGUUAUCUGGAGAUUGGGUCACAUGCUGUCUUCAUCAUCACACUGGAGCAGCACAGAGGGACAGACCAGUUAGUUUGAGUUGUUUCAAAAUUCGACCUUGUGGAUCUGGUGGUUUCAGAAAGGCAAAAUAAAGCCAAGGGGGAGCGUUUUAGGGAAGGCAUCAAUCUUGGCCUUCUGGCUUUGGAUAAUGUUAUCCGUGCCUUGGGGGGGGGAGAGCCAAAGAGGUAGCUUUGUUCCAUACAGAGAGUCCAAGCUGACUCUGCUGCUCCAGGAUUCUCUGGGAGGACACGGUUACUUUGAUGAUCACAUGAGUCAGUCCAGGAGACUCUAACAUGGAGGAGACACUGAACACCCUACGAUAUACAGAUAGGGCACGACAAAUAAAAAAUAAACCCAUUGUGAAUGUUGACGCCAAAGAUUCGAAAAUAAAAUGCCUCCAACAGCAGGUUGAGGAGCUGCAGGGGAAGCUCCUCAUGCCUGUGGAGGAGGAGCUCUGCUGCUCUCUGGGCCAGAGUCAGAGGAGACGGUGACUGAGCUGCUGGAAAGGAAUCGCUCCCUGCAGGACGACAUCAAUAAACUAAGCGGGGAGCUGAGCCAGAUGAUCAUCAAAAUAAUACACUAGAAAGCAGAGGGGAACAACAGCAUGAAGCUAUAAAAUACUGUUUCAAUGGAUGUGUUUGAAAACUUUGUUUUUCAAAAUAAAGUCUUUAAAUUCAGA